rnacentral:rRNA from 1 species
UACGAAGGGGGCUAGCGUUGCUCGGAAUCACUGGGCGUAAAGCGCACGUAGGCGGACUCUUAAGUCGGUGGUGAAAUCCUGGAGCUCAACUCCAGAACUGCCUUCGAUACUGGGAGUCUCGAGUCCGAGAGAGGUGAGUGGAACUGCGAGUGUAGAGGUGAAAUUCGUAGAUAUUCGCAAGAACACCAGUGGCGAAGGCGGCUCACUGGCUCGGUACUGACGCUGAGGUGCGAAAGCGUGGGGAGCGAACAGG